rnacentral:ribozyme from 12 species
AAAAAAAAAAAAAAAAAAAAAAAAGGAAAAAUGGUUGGCUAUUUGUUAUGAUUCUCUUUUUUUUUUUUUUGGUUUUUUGUUUUUUUGUUGUUUGUUUUCCCGCCCGUUUUUCCUCUCUUUUGCUUGUGGUGCUGUGCUUCUCACACACACGUGGGGAGCAAGAGCAGGAGAGCAGUAGUGA